ACUCCACACUGAGGGCGCGGAGGUGGUUUCAGACCGCAGCGCCCGGGCUCCUCCUCCCGCGCUACCCAGGGAGGCGGGCUGUGCUCUUUUCAAGGUCCCGCCAAAGGGCCCCGCCCUCCCGGAGGGAGACCUAGCAGCCUUCCCUCCUACACUAGGCCGGGGACCGCCGGACCGGAAGCUGCGGGGUCUCGGGGCCCCGGUUCGUUCUCGCCUAGCCGCAAGCCGCGGGUGCGCAUGCUCCGCGAAGGCCCGCACAGGGCCCGGGUGAACCCUGAUAGAGCCAUCGCGAGGCGGGGUUAUUGCUGGAAUGGUGGUGGUUUGGGGAACUCUUUUUUGGUGAGACGGUCAAGUGGGAAGGUGCACCCCGUUUCCAGUGGACUCCCACUUGGUGCUGGCUUGGCUUCCUGGAAAGAGAGUGAAAAGUCAGAGCCUAAGAGCUGCCCCUGAACUCCACAGCCUUCACCUCGCCUCUUCCUGUUUGGAAGACCCAGGUCCAGUUAGCGCCGUCCUGCUUCCCAACUAGGAGCCCGUCCACUGAUGCGGCAUGCCGGAUCUUAGUUCCCUGACCAGGGAUUGAACCCGUUGCCCCCUGCAGUGGAAAAGCGGAAUCUUAACCACUGGACCGCCAGGGAAGUCCCAAGAUUUUCUAAGACUAAAGGAGAUCUCUGUGAUGGAUUAAAUGUUUGUGAGCCCCCCUCCCUGCAAAUUCAUAUACUGAAGCCCUCACCACCCAUUGUGACUCUGUAUUUGUAAAUGGGGCCCCUAAGGAAGUAAUUAGGGUUAAACGAGGUCAUGAGGGUGAUGCCCGAAUCCAAUAGGACUGAUGUCCUUAUAAGAAGAGGAAGAGACACGAGAGAUUUCUCUCACUCUGCACCUGCGCAGAGGAAAAGCCAUGUGAAGACACAGAGAGAAGGCAGCCGUCUACAAGCCAUGAGAGUCCUCACCAGGAAGCAAAUCAGCUGGCACCUUAACCUUGAACUUCCAGCCUCCAGAACUGUGAGAAAUAAAUGUCUGCUGUUGAAGACA